AUCUAUGGCCAUGCUACCCUGAACAAGCCCGAUCCCAUCUGAUCUCGGAAGCUAAGCAGGGUCGGGCCUGGUUAGUACUUGGAUGGGAGACCACCUAGGAAGACCAGGUGCUAUAGGUG
rnacentral:rRNA from 1 species